rnacentral:lncRNA from 1 species
CUGGGAUCCAGCUCCCUGCCCCUCGGGCCAGGGCGUUGCCUUUACCUGGGGCUGACUUUGGCAUUAGAUUGCAGUAGAAUCCAUCUCCCAGAGAGAGGCUGGAGGCCCAACUGCAGAGAGAGGGGAGGGUCAGUAAAUCUGCUGAAUAUUCCAGCUGCGUGCUGCGGCUCUCACACUGACUUCAUUCCUCUGGGAAGCUUUUUACGAAGUUUGACGGGACACUGUCCCUUUAAAUCCUCCCCAACUACCUCAAGCCGUCGGACGAGUCGGCACAUGCGCAGUCCUUUGCGGAGCUGGCACCUCCAGCAACAGCCUUCCCGGAGCCUGUACAGGAGAGGUUAAAGGCCGCCCCGCCCCAGAAUUUAUACGCAAGCGUAGAUCAAAGCUGGGAGCUCUAUGUCUUGCAGAGAGCCCGGUCCCUUUUUCGCGCCCGAAGGCUCCGCCCCCCGCGGCC